GGGGAAUCUUCCGCAAUGGGCCCAAACCUGACGGAGCAAGACUGCGUGCGGGAGGACGGCCUAUUGGUUGUAAACCGCUUUUCCAUAUGGAAGAACUUCAGACGGUACCUAUCGAAUAAGCAUCGGCUAAUUCCGUGCCUGCAACCGCGAUAAUACGGAGGAUGCAAGCGCCAUCCCGAAUUAUUGGGCCCAAAGCGUCCGUAGGGGGUUGCUCAAGUAAGUUGGUAUAGCGUGAGGCUUACACGCAUACCAACAGUGGAAAAUCAGCGUAUAGAGUACGGUAGGGGUCAGGGGAAUUCCCAGUGUAGCGCUGAUUAAUCUAGAUAUUGGGAAGAACACCAGCGACGAAAGGGCGUGAAGGGGAAAGAAGAGACACCCACCGCCGAAUACUAGGGGAGUGAAUGGGAUUAGAUACAACAGUAGUAGUC
rnacentral:rRNA from 1 species